ACGCUCGACACCUACGUGAGGCAGCAGUGAGGAAUAUUGGUCAAUGGACGCAAGUCUGAACCAGCCAUGCCGCGUGCAGGAUGACGGCUCUAUGAGUUGUAAACUGCUUUUGUACGAGGGUAAACGCAGAUACGUGUAUCUGUCUGAAAGUAUCGUACGAAUAAGGAUCGGCUAACUCCGUGCCAACAGCCGCGGUAAUCUGAGCGGGCUGGCAAGGC
rnacentral:rRNA from 1 species